ensembl:misc_RNA Metazoa_SRP Metazoan signal recognition particle RNA
GCCAGGCGUGGUGGUGCACGCCUGUAAUCCUAGCUACUCGAGAGGCUGAGGCAGGAGAAUCGCUUGAACCCAGGAGUUGGAGGUUGCAGUGAGCCAAGAUUGCGCCACUGCACUCCAGCCUGGGUGACAGAGCUGGACCUUGUCUCAA